rnacentral:rRNA from 1 species
GAAGGUCACGGCGAGACGAGCCG